GAUGAACGCUGGCGGCGUGCCUAAUACAUGCAAGUCGAGCGAACAGACGAGGAGCUUGCUCCUCGGACGUUAGCGGCGGAGGGGUGAGUAACACGUGGAUAACCUACCUAUAAGGCUGGGAUAACUUCGGGAAACCGGAGCUAAUACCGGAUAAGAUAUUGAACCGCAUGGGGCAAUAGUGAAAGACGGUGUUUCCGGCGGUUGUCGAUGGAUCCGCGCCUGAUCGUCGUGUUGGUGGGGUAGUGGCUUACCAAGGCAACGACGGGUAGCCGGCCUGCGAGGGUGACCGGCCACAUUGGGACUGAGAUACGGCCCAGACUCCUACGGGAGGCAGCAGUGGGGAAUAUUGCACAAUGGGCGGAAGCCUGAUGCAGCAACGCCGCGUUCGGGAUGACGGCCUUCGGGUUGUAAACCGCUUUCGCCUGUGACGAAGCGUGAGUGACGGUAAUGGGUAAAGAAGCACCGGCUAACUACGUG
rnacentral:rRNA from 1 species